CUGACUGCAUGGGCAGCUACACUAACAAGGUUGAACGUGGUGUUUAAAUCUUGAAGCUGACCUUUACCACUAAGCUGUCAGUCAGUGCUAGGAGUAACAAUAGACGAAGAGACCACUAGAAAAAUAGUGAGCCACAUGGAAACGUUUUUUACCAAGUGUGAAGAGGAAGAAGUGAGACCUAACUUAAGUUUUUCAACGCGCAACAGGUCGAAAGAAAUCAUGGAGAUAAAGCUUCGGGACAAGCAGCACUGCAAUGAUUCCCCGGGACUCAGCACCGCCGGAAGUGUUACUUAGCAGUGGUAAAUCCUUCUGAGUAAGGCUCCAUUCCUCUUCAGAAGCAUCUAAUAUGGCUGCAGACUGCCGCAAUGCCCACCUGCACAGGCUGGGCAUGACCAACUCUCCCCACUGCCCCUGGUGCCCUACACAGCCUGACACCCUAGAACAUCUGCUCCUACACUGCCCUCGUCACCACUCACACCGUGUGGCCCUCCUACACUGUGCUAUUCACCCACACAAGCCAACACUGACCAACCUCCUGGGUGGCUGCACAAAUCCCGCUCAGGCUUUCAAGACUUUCAACCUCACCAGGACCUUCCUACAGAAAACCAAUCAGCUCCAUCGCAUAUAGCCAGAACACAACACCGCAUAUUGCACCUUUGCGGCACUAAAGGCUGUGACACAGCCUGCACGGCCCCAACAAAUCUCCAAGAAGAAGAAAUGUCAGCCAUUUAGAUUUGCAGCUGUAAUUAAUGAAGUGUGUACCAGGCAGCCUACAUGUACAGACUUCAGUGAGUGUUGAGCUGACUCCUUCACUUAAGUGGAGUGGGUGCUAAGUUCUCUCACAUCAUCACAAUGGUUGCUGAAGCCUGGUGAGACUCAGGGAUGUUACAGUAUGUUUAAUACAGUGAGAGCCAAUAUUGAAGGCAUGGUGCUGGCUGUGAGUGGGAUCAGGAGCAGGAGAUGCAAGCCACAUUCGCUGUGUGCAGUGUGAGGAGGAGGAGCGGAAGCUCCAAGUUUUUUAGCAGUGCUUCAGUGUUCAUAUAAAGUGUUUCAGGAAUCUACAUUUUCAUGGAUAGUGAAGAGCACCACAACACCAGAUAUCUGUUCUCUUAUAACCAAGAACCUCCUGUGACACCGCAUCAUCAUCACAUCAGUGGCAGGCUGGGGUGUAUUGCCAGCACUGUCUGCAUGGGUGUGGUGCAGAUUCACCAGUCUUCUGCUGUACAAGGUAAUCCUCCCUUAUAGUCCUGGGAAAUUUGGCUAAUACAUGGAAGAGAUUUGUGACAAGCUGAAAUUUUCAGUUUGCAGGAAGGAUGGGACUCACAUCUGAAGUGAUGCUGAUGUAGGUGGCAGAGACUAACUUCAACAUAGUUGAAAGCUGUGAACCUCAAAGGUCUUGUUGCAGUAGUAAAGGUAGGACAACCUGUCAGUAAUUGUAUUCCAAUAUAUGGUAGGACAACCUGUCAGUAAAGGCCCAUCCACACGAUAGGGCAAAGUUCGUCGAACACAGCCCGCUAUCGGGCAAACUCUAUUUCAUCACAUAUGGUCUCGAGGGCAGCUGCUCGCUUGUUCCUGUCUUUAUAUGUGACUAGUCUCACAUUCCAUAGACAUGGGUUUUGAUGAUACAGCUCUAUUAAAUGAAUAAUCGCCGUUCUCGACUACUGCUCUCUGGCGGGUACAGAGACAGACGUGUCGCUUUUUACUAGCCCAACAGUGAUAGAUAACCAGAGACCCUUGCCUCCUACUGAAGCUGUGUGUGUCUGGCAGCGACAUCGUACUCCCGGGAUCGGGCAGUGCUCGGUGAUUUCGAACAGCUAUAUUCUACUAUUUGUUCAGCGGACUAAAGCGAGAAGUCCGUCAUCGGGUAGACCACUCGCUUGUGUUCGAGGGCACUGCCCUAUCGUGUGGACAGGCCUUAAUUGUGUUCCAUACAUGUGCUGUAAAUUUUUCUUCCACACAGGCAAUAUUCAUCUACACUCUACUCAAGCUCUUUUCAGUUAAAACUUUCAGUUCCUCGAACAUUUCACUGAAGUUUUUUUUUCCCUUGUACAGGGCAGAUGAAGUGUCAGCCAAUGAAGAAGCAAUGGAGGAAUAGAUCACGGGAUUUCUUAUACUUUUUUCUUGGAGCUCACCACUGGAUCAGUUUUUACUAUUACAGAGAUGUAGGGUGGAUCUGCAAGAGUGAUGAACAUAACGAGCAAGUCUGUAUCAUUACUCAACAGGACCACAGGACUUUUUCCUUUACUGGCUUUAUCUAUUGCUGGUGGGCAAUGAUAAACUUAACAAUAGUUGUUAUGUUCAUCACUCUUGCAGAUCCAUCCUACAACUAAUCUGUAAUGGUAAAAAUCCAUCAUGAUUUAUUCCUGCAUUGCUUCACUGGCUAUGGCACUACAUCUGUCCUGUACAACAAGAGAAAAAUUUUACAGCACAUCUGUAUGGAACACAAGAACAGGUAACUCGAUUUGUUUUUGUUAAUACGCGACCGAAAAAAAUAUUAUAAUUAAUUAAAUUUGUACAAUCGAUUUACUUAUAUACGAUUUGGACCACAUCCCGCGUGCCCCCUAUUAUCUAUUGUUUCUGACGAGAAUUACAAAUUUGUUUUACACGAAUUUUGAAAUAUGCCAUGUUUCUUGGAAUGCAUCUAUUGUAUGAAUUGAGUGUUACUUGUAUUGAGAGGUUGUCCUACCUUUGCUACUGGGCUUAAAGAGGUUCACAGCUUUCUACUACUUUCAGGUUAGUCUCUGCCACCUACAUUCAGUGCUGCAGAUGUGAGUCCCACCCUUCCUGUAAGAAGGAAAACAAACCCCAUACUCAGUUGCUCCUGAAAAAUUGCUAAAGCUAGUUUCUUGUGGCUGCAGAAAAUUAUUAAUGUAUUGUACUUUGAUUUGCAGUGGAUUUCAUAGCCAGACAGGCAUUAACAUUCCACAGCAUAAAGAUGAAUUUCAUGACAGACAAUGAGUUAAGGUACUAGUCCUCCCCUAGACAUAUUAAUGUUUAAGUAGUUAAGCACUUCUGCAAUGAUGGCUGGUAUAAUUAUUUUUAUUACCUUUCAGUUUUCUACAAUACAACUUCCAUCUGCAUGAAGUUCUUAUUCUCAAUUAGUCAAUCACUUCAUUAAUUCCAAAUUCACUUCUUACUACUACAACUGUUUUUACCACUGCAGAGGAGGAUGGAAGUGGCUCCCCAUUGGCUUAAAAGAAACUGGUCUGAUGAACAGCUCCUUAAGUUCCCAUGCACCACCAGUUAAAUACUCUGCCUGCCCUACCUUCAAAAGUGGCUGGAUUCAACAGUUUAGUGUCUUACCAAGCAGGAUGCUUUUACUGAACAGUACCAAGUUGGAAAUACUCUUAAGACUCUCCAGAGAUAAUAAUGUAAUUAUUAAGAAUUAAAUAAAAGUAAUAAAGAUUUCCAGGGAGAACAAAUGCUUCUAUUUUUUAAUUCCUACACUACUGAAAAAUCUCCGAAGAAGAGUCUUUGGAGUAUUUUCGACUUGGUUAUAUCAACUGUUGAAAAUCCAGACCACAUUUUCUUGGGCUACUUCUGUCCUCUUCAAUGUAAGCUAGGAAGUCUAUGGAAGACAGCUUCUACUCUUCCUCUGGCUGUAGACAUGACUGACAGUAGUGGUGACACUCCCCUUGUAGCCUCUUCUUUUUUUUUUUUUGUUAGUUUUCUUGCAAGCUGUAAAUGGAAAAGAAAUUCAAAUCCUAAUCUUAUACUAAAUUAAAACAAAACACCAAUACAUAUUACUAAUUAUAUACUGUACCUACUGUAUUACAGUAAUAGUUGCUACAAUAUCAAGUUGUAUACUGUAAUAAUGUUUCACAACAUAAGUAAAACUCGACUUAAUUCC